AUGUCACGGGAUCGCAACCAAUGGGAACGUGACAUGACGCCUCCGUGGGGCCACGUCUAUCUCCCACCCUUUGGUUGCAUCUGCAGUUUGAGAGACAUGCACAUGCUUAUGCCAAUUGCUGCACUACACCAUACAGCAGCAGCAACUCAGGGCAGAGCAAUGCUCCAUUCCAUGGCGCCCCUCCACGCCGCCGCCGCCACUGCGCAGCACGCAGCCGUCGGCGCAGCUCCGGGCAGAGAUGCUGCUCCGAAGAAGAACGGCGGCUGCGUUCCAGCCAACCGCGACACCAGGAGGGCGUUCCUGAGCGGCGUGGCGAUCGCCGCUGCCGGCGCCGGCGCGCUGCUGGGCCACGUGGACGCGGCGCCGGCGGCCUCCAAGAGGCGGGCCCCGCCACCGCCGUCGGAGGAGAAGGAGAAGAAGGACCCCAACCUCAGCGGCGUGCAGGCCAAGGUGUUGGCCAGCAGGAAGCGGAAGGAGGCCAUGAAGGAAGCCGUGGCCAAGCUGCGGGAGAAGGGGAAGGAGCCCGCGGACGCGGCCAGCACCGUAACCGGAAUAAAGCCCAGAUCGACAGGGGCCGUUGUAGAGUGA
rnacentral:rRNA from 1 species